UACAGAGGGUGCAAGCGUUGUUCGGAGUUACUGGGCGUAAAGCGCGUGUAGGCGGAUCGAGAAGUCGGGUGUGAAAUCCCUGGGCUUAACCCAGGAACUGCGCCCGAAACCAUCGGUCUGGAGUGUGGCAGGGGAGCGGGGAAUUCCCGGUGUAGAGGUGAAAUUCGUAGAUAUCGGGAGGAACACCAGUGGCGAAGGCGCCGCUCUGGGCCAUCACUGACGCUAAAACGCGAAAGCUUGGGGAGCAAACAGG
rnacentral:rRNA from 1 species